CGGGUGAGUAACGCGUGGAUAACCUGCCUCACACUGGGGGAUAACAGUUAGAAAUGACUGCUAAUACCGCAUAAGCGCACAGUACCGCAUGGUACAGUGUGAAAAACUCCGGUGGUGUGAGAUGGAUCCGCGUCUGAUUAGCCAGUUGGCGGGGUAACGGCCCACCAAAGCGACGAUCAGUAGCCGACCUGAGAGGGUGACCGGCCACAUUGGGACUGAGACGCGGCCCAA
rnacentral:rRNA from 1 species